rnacentral:ncRNA from 1 species
CCUAAGACUUAAUAGGGAAGUCCGGUAGAAUCCGGCGCGGUCCCGCCACUGUAGCAGAGAGCAAACCCGUAUAGUUAUGUCACUGGGGCGAGAGCCUUGGGAAGGCACGGGGGAGCGAUGACCUGGAGCCAGGAGAACUGCCUGAUUGA